UACGGAGGGGACUAGCGUUGUUCGGAAUUACUGGGCGUAAAGCGCACGUAGGCGGAUUUGUUAGUCAGGGGUGAAAUCCCACGGCCCAACCGUGGAACUGCCUUUGAUACUGGCGUGCUUGAGUGCGUGAGGGGUAACCGGAACGAGUCGUGUAGCGGUGAAAUGCAUAGAUAUGACUCGGAAGGCCAAAGGCGAAGGCAGGUUACUGGUACGCAACUGACGCUGAGGCACGAAAGCGUGGGGAGCAACAGGAUUAAGAUACCGGGUAGU
rnacentral:rRNA from 1 species